rnacentral:rRNA from 1 species
UACGGGGGGAGCAAGCGUUGUUCGGAUUUACUGGGCGUAAAGGGCGCGUAGGCGGCCACCGCAAGUCGACUGUGAAAUCUCCGGGCUUAACUCGGAAAGGUCAGCCGAUACUGCGGGGCUAGAGUGCAGAAGGGGCAACUGGAAUUCUCGGUGUAGCGGUGAAAUGCGUAGAUAUCGGGAGGAACACCUGUGGCGAAAGCGGCGCACUGGACCACAACUGACGCUGAGGCGCGAAAGCUAGGGGAGCAAACAGG